GCUUGAUUGGCGCAGUGGUAGUGACCCUACCUGUCGCGCAGGGAUCGUCAGGUUCGAUUCCACGACAAACA